CAGUCGCCACGGUAAAACGUAGGUGGCAAGCGUUGUCCGGAUUUAUUGGGCGUAAAGCGAGCGCAGGCGGUUUCUUAAGUCUGAUGUGAAAGCCCCCGGCUCAACCGGGGAGGGUCAUUGGAAACUGGGAGACUUGAGUGCAGAAGAGGAGAGUGGAAUUCCAUGUGUAGCGGUGAAAUGCGUAGAUAUAUGGAGGAACACCAGUGGCGAAGGCGGCUCUCUGGUCUGUAACUGACGCUGAGGCUCGAAAGCGUGGGGAGCGAACAGGAUUAGAUACCCCCGUAGUCCCUGUCUCUUAUAC
rnacentral:rRNA from 1 species